GAUGAACGCUAGCUACAGGCUUAACACAUGCAAGUCGAGGGGCAGCAUGACGGAAGCUUGCUUUCGUUGAUGGCGACCGGCGCACGGGUGAGUAACGCGUAUCCAACCUGCCCUUGUCCAUCGGAUAACCCGUCGAAAGGCGGACUAACACGAUAUGCAGUUCUCAGCAGGCAUCUAACGAGAACGAAAUGUGAAGGAGAAGGAUGGGGAUGCGUCUGAUUAGCUUGUUGGCGGGGUAACGGCCCACCAAGGCGACGAUCAGUAGGGGUUCUGAGAGGAAGGUCCCCCACAUUGGAACUGAGACACGGUCCAAACUCCUACGGGAGGCAGCAGUGGGGAAUCUUCCGCAAUGGGCGAAAGCCUGACGGAGCAACGCCGCGUGAGUGAAGAAGGCCUUGGGUCGUAAAGCUCUGUUGAAGGGACGGAAUGUCAAGACUAUCAACAACGGUUUUAGAAUGACGGUACCUUUCGAGGAAGCCACGGCUAACUACGUGCCAGCAGCCGCGG
rnacentral:rRNA from 1 species